rfam:Bombyx mori DNA, contig: Bm_scaf97_contig35465, strain: p50T/Dazao, build 2, whole genome shotgun sequence.
ACAACAUUCAGACCGUCGGUCUACCGAGCAAUAUCACCCGCUCGGUGGAAGAUCUUCCCUUUGUCGU